rnacentral:lncRNA from 1 species
CUAACUUGGUCCCUGGGCGUUGCCCUGCAGGGGAGUGAGCAGCUGUAAGAUUUGAGGGGCGACUCCGAUUAGUUUAUCUUCCCACGGACUAGAGUUGGUGUCGAGGUUAUUGUAAUAAGGGUGGGGUAGGGAAAUGGAGCUUAGUCAUUCACCUGGGGCUGAUUUUAUGCAACGAGACUGCGGAUUAUCACUACUUAUCAUUUUUGGAGCAUUUUUCUAGAGACAGACAUAAAGCAUGAUCACCUGAGUUUUAUACCAUUUGAGACCCUUGCUGCACCACCAAAGUGUAGCAUCAGGUUAAAUCUUAAUAGAAAAAUUUUAGCUUUUGCUUGAGAAACCAGUGCUUCCCUCCCUCACCCUCUCUCCCCAGGCUCUCUACCCCUUUGCAUCCCUACCAGGCAUCUUAGCAACUCUCACUCAUACUUGAUCCCAUUUUCCAUUUGUUGUACUUGCUCCUCUAGUAUUCAGACAUAGCACUAGCUUUCUCCCUCUCUUGAUCUUGGGUAGCCUGGUGUCUCGCGAAACCAGACAGAUUGGUUCCACCACAAAUUAAGGCUUGAGCUGGGGCUUGACUCUUACCCAGCAGUGCUUUUAUUCCUCCCUAGUUCACGUUCUUAAAUGUUUAUCUUGAUUUUCAUUUUAUCCUUUUUCCUUAGCUGGGAUUCUGUCCCUGACCGUCUUCACAGUCCAGGUGAUCUUGACUACUGCUUUACAGAGAAUUGGAUCUGAGGUUGCUCCUUGAGGGCAGGACAGUUCUUAUGGCUUUAUCCGUUGCGUAAGCACAGAGAGGUCUGCGAGGUCAAAACUAUUGUCAUGAUAGCAAGAUGCCUGUCUUUUUCAUUUAUUCUCACGGUGUGCAGAGGCUACAUGAUGUGUGAUGACAUCCUCAUUGAUGUUAAUGAAUGGUGCUAUACUUGAAUUUUCUAAGGUGUCAUUAGGUAGGUUUAGGUAUGCAUACUUGUUUUUAGAAAUUAUUUUUUUCCUUUUUCCCAUUUUUAGAAAUCAACUCAUUUUUUAGGUUAUGCCUUCAGUAAUCUUUGCAACCUCAAUAUUGUGUAAUGGUUACUUUAAAAUACUGUAGUUUUCUUUGUGCCUAAGUAUAAACAUAAGUACAUUUUGUUGUUUUGUUUGCAAUAGUGGUUUAAAUAUUUUCCCAAAAUAUCCAAAUUUAAAAAUUCUACAACUUUAGAAUUUAAUAAAUUUAUUCUAAAAUAUUUAUAUAUUUUUUCAUUUAAGAAUGGAUCGGCUUAAAAAGACUGCUUCUCAUUUACUUACUGGCUAUACCAUCUGUAUACUAAUAAAAAACAAGAUUUGAUUUGGAAGGACUGACUCAAACUAACGAAAAUAUGAAACCUGUCUUUCUGCUUUGGAGAUAUUUACCUAAUCAUGUUCUGCAGUAGAAUAAUUUAGUUCUUUUGUCUUUUUUUGGAGAUGAGGUCUUGCUGUGUUGCCCAGGCUAUUCACAGCUGCCAUCAUAGUGAACUACAGCCUGAAACUCCUGGGUUCAAGAGAUCCUUCUGCCUCAGCCUCCUGAGUAGCUGGAACUAUAGGCAUGCGCCACCAAGCCUGGGCUUUUAAAAAAAUUUUAAAAAGAAUUUUGAGACAGGAUCUUGCCAUGUUGCUCAGGCUAGUCUUCAACUCCUAGCCCUGAGUGAUCUUGCUUUGGGCCUCUCAAAAUGUUGAGUUAAUAGGCGUGAGCCACCAUACCCAGCCAAAAAUUUUUUUAGAGAUGGGAAUGGAAUGAUCUUGAAUAGUGUUGGUGCCACCUAUGUUGUGGCAUCAUUUUGAAACCAAUCAUUCAGAGUGCUUUUUUUGGUAAGGCAUUAUUUUUUAAUGCAGGUAUGCCACUACUGGGAAAAAAAAAAAAACAGGUUUUAAAGCUAGAAAUGAAAAGCUACUUAAGUAUCUUAAAGGAUAAGUUACUUUAUUAUACACUAGAAACAUACACAAUAGCUGAAAAACUUAAAAAAUCUCACACUGCUGAAUGUCUCUGCUGGCUGAAGUGUAAGUAAAAGAUCAUAGUAGUGCCGCUGUUGAGUGAUAAAGCAACUUGUCAUUAAAGAUGUGUGUGCAGACAUGGAUUCUGAGUUAAUAUCUCAUCUGUAGAAGUAUAUAUUUGUCCCUUGCUUUGGGAUUGGUUUCUGGACAGCACUCCCCCACCCUUGCUGGCCAUUUGCCAAGGACACCAAAACCCAAGGAUGUUGAAUUCCCUUUUAUAAAAUGGCGCUGUAUCUGCAUACAACUUACACACAUCCUCCCAUAUACUUUAAAUCAUUUCCAGAUUUCUUAUACUUCAUACAAUGUGAAUGCUAUAUAAAUAGUUGUUACAUUGUGUACUUAUAUUUGUACUAUUGUAUUAAAUAUUCUCAAAUAUUUUCAAGCACAUUUGGUUGAAUCUGCAGAUGCAGAACCUGAGGAUAUGGAGGGCUGACUGUGCUAAUACGUUAUCAAUGGAUGCGUGCAUAAACAUGGCUGGACUUGUUACUU